rnacentral:lncRNA from 1 species
CCUAUAGGCCACCAGUGUGAAAUUGCCAACCCCCAUGCAGAGCCUGGGUGCCAUCACCACAGGCACGAGCACCAUUGUCCGUACCAUUCCUGUGGCCACCACUCUUUCCUCCUUGGCUGCCACCCCUGGUGGGAAACCCACUGCCAUCCACCAGCUGCUGACCAAUGGAGGCCUCGCUAAGUUGGCAAGCAGCCUACCUGGCUUGGCUCAAAUUUCCAACCAAGCAUCAGGCUUAAAGGUCCCCACCACCAUUACUCUGACACUCCGCGGCCAGCCAAGCAGAAUCACUACACUAAGCCCUAUGGGUUCAGGAGCAGCAGCAUCCGAGGAGCCCAACUCCCAGAUGCUGCCCUCUAGUUCACAGCGCCUGCCUCCAGCACCCUGAAUAUGCCAGCAAAAUGUCCUUACCAGGAGGACAGCUUGAACAACACUGGAGGGGCUGCUCCCGAAAGAUGCUGCCCCUGUGUUCUGGAACCAAAGAAAGAUGCUGCCCCUGUGUGUCCUGCUUUGGUGGUUAAUCUGUGUGCAUCCCAUGGGUGACUUCUGAGGCAUGGCUUACAUACCUUGAAGAACUGCAACACUGAGGAGGGGAAGCUGCAGCACACUGAUCGUCACCUUUGAGGGACUGACCAACAAGGAAGUGGCUGGAGUCUGUAGCCCACUCAGAUUGGAAUGUGGAGACACUUCACCCCGCCCACCUCUCGGCAGACUUGAGGUGUAGCCUCAGAAGGUAGUACUCUAAUGAGUAUGUGGAAGGGCCAGGAAGGCUUUGCGGUCUCUUGGGCAACAGGGCUUGUAAUGCCCAGAGGAGGGCGUCGCUGAGGAGCAAAGACAACAACCUUUGGUUGUGUUACUAUAAUAAUUUGGGUUGGAUGAAUUCAUAGAAGUGAGCAGAGUGAUGGUUCUGAUCUUAUGUUAGCAAAAAAUAAAAGACAAAAUUG